UUUGAUUUGACCCGUGAGUUGCCAUGUGCAGAAUAUCAAGUGACUGCAAAUCCAAAUGCAUUUCCGUGGAUGCGAGAAAGUUCCAGGCAUCUUUGCAGAACGGAUGUCAGUGAUGCCAAGAUUCAGGAACUCUGCAAAGAAGAAUCUCAAUGGACUUACUACGAUGACAAUGAUUUAACUGUGAAGAUGAGAAUGACCGAAGACAUAUUUGAUAGCUUGAUCCUUGAUACAAUCAGAGUUCUUAACAAGAUCUAUCUGAGAAGAGCCUGUGAUUCUAAGGUUUCCCUAAAAGAUUUUUAAGGAAUUUUUAUCUCUGAUUUUUUAAAUAUUUCCUUUUUUAGGCAUGAUUUCAGAAUUUUAGUUCUGAACUUGUGCUAAAUACCAGUGGGGUAUUGACCUAAUCUGUGUGUUCAUGUGUGCUUUGGAAAUGCUCAUUAAGGUCAAUGCUCACCUUUGAUGUCACACAGAAUCUAAAGGGUGGAAGUUUUAUUCUUGUCUGGGUUUUUUUGGUCAAGACAGCACUUUAUUCACUGGUGCAUUUUAAGAGCACAACAUGUUUUAAAAUUGUGUCCAAAUCCCUGCAAACAGGGUUCGAACCCAAUUUAUGUGUAAAUUAUCCUAUUCUUUGUUAUCAUGUUCAUGCUAUCAAUAAUGACAGGUGAAUCAUACUGUGAAAAUAACAUUCAGAUAAUCAUAAGUGACUCUUACUAUGAAUGUGCAAAUGGAAUUAAAUCUAGAAAUGGAA